AACGAACGCUGGCGGCAGGCUUAACACAUGCAAGUCGAACGCCCCGCAAGGGGAGUGGCAGACGGGUGAGUAACACGUGGGAACCUUCCUCGUUGUACGGAACAACUCAGGGAAACUUGAGCUAAUACCGUAUACGUCCGAGAGGAGAAAGAUUUAUCGCAAUGAGACGGGCACGCGUCGGAUUAGCUAGUUGGUGGGGUAACGGCCUACCAAGGCGAUGAUCCGUAGCUGAUCUGAGAGGAUGAGCAGCCACACUGGGACUGAGACACGGCCCAGACUCCUACGGGAGGCAGCAGUGGGGAAUCUUGGACAAUGGGCGCAAGCCUGAUCCAGCCAUGCCGCGUGAGUGAAGAAGGCCUUCGGGUUGUAAAGCUCUUUUGUCAGGGACGAUAAUGACGGUACCUGAAGAAUAAGCCCCGGCAAACUUCGUGCCAGCAGCCGCUGUAA
rnacentral:rRNA from 1 species